rnacentral:tRNA from 1 species
GGGGUGGCAGGAGACCAGGAAUGGACUCAUAAUCCAUUGGUCGCGGGUUCAAGUCCCGCCCGGCCCA